GGAGGGAAGCGAAUGCAGCUGAAGUGGCUCUGUAUCAGGUUCAGGGGACGUCGGAGGACGCUCCGGGCGGUGGACGAAUGUUGCCGCCCCGAGAGGCCGCCGACUAGCACUCCUGUUGGGAGCCGGCCAACAGCAGUUGUUCCCGGCCCAGAAGGGAACAUACAGCCAUCCGCGACUGAGGAGAGCAGCGCAGGCCCCCGGGCCGCCUCUGUCCGUUUUCCCGCGGCGGGGGCAGUGUCUGCUGACGGUUCGCCCGCUCGGUCGGGGGAUCGGCCACGCCUUGCGCUGGGGCUGUUGGUGCUCAAAUGGCUGCAUCCGACCCGUCUUGAAACACGGACCAAGGAGUGCAACAUGCGUGCGAGUCUUGGAGUGAAAAACUNGUCGGCGCAAUGAAGGUGAAGGCAGGCCGCAUCGUCGACCGAUCCCGGGCUACGCUGUGGCGGGAUUUGAGUAAGAGCGUGCCUGUU
rnacentral:rRNA from 1 species